UCGGCGUACGCAAACUUUUAGUAUGGAUCCUACGCAGUGUUUUAUAAAUGAGGCCCCAGGUUACUGGUUCUAAAGAGGUCUACUGGUUCGAUAGAGAUCUGGUUACUGGUUCUAUAGAGGUCUACUGGUUCGAUAGAGGUCUGGUUACUGGUUCUAUAGAGGUCUACUGGUUCGAUAGAGGUCUGGUUACUGGUUCUAUAGAGGUCUACUGGUUCGAUAGAGAUCUGGUUACUGGUUCUAUAGAGGUCUACUGGUUCUAUAGAGGUCUACUGGUUCGAUAGAGAUCUGGUUACUGGUUCUAUAGAGGUCUACUGGUUCUAUAGAGGUCUACUGGUUCGAUAGAGGUCUGGUUACUGGUUCUAUAGAGGUCUGGUUACUGGUUCUAUAGAGGUCUACUGGUUCGAUAGAGAUCUACUGGUUCAAUAGAGAUCUGGUUACUGGUUCUGGACUCACCAGAGACCUUCAGAGUGACCUUCCUCUUGAACUGGGCUCCGAGGACCUCACACUCGUAGGGCCCCU